AACGAACGCUGGCGGCAUGCCUAACACAUGCAAGUCGAACGAAGUCUUCGGACUUAGUGGCGCACGGGUGCGUAACGCGUGGGAAUCUGCCCUUGGGUGCGGAAUAACUCAGAGAAAUUUGUGCUAAUACCGCAUAAUGUCGCAAGACCAAAGAUUUAUCGCCCAAGGAUGAGCCCGCGUAAGAUUAGCUAGUUGGUGAGGUAAAAGCUCACCAAGGCGACGAUCUUUAGCUGGUCUGAGAGGAUGAUCAGCCACACUGGGACUGAGACACGGCCCAGACUCCUACGGGAGGCAGCAGUGGGGAAUAUUGGACAAUGGGCGAAAGCCUGAUCCAGCAAUGCCGCGUGAGUGAUGAAGGCCUUAGGGUUGUAAAGCUCUUUUACCCGGGAUGAUAAUGACAGUACCGGGAGAAUAAGCUCCGGCUAACUCCGUGCCAGCCGCCGCCGUAAGAC
rnacentral:rRNA from 1 species